GAUGAAGAACGGAGCGAAAUGCGAUAAGUAAUGUGAAUUGCAGAAUUCAGUGAAUCAUCGAAUCUUUGAACGCACAUUGCGCCCGCUAGUAUUCUGGCGGGCAUGCCUGUCCGAGCGUCAUUUCAACCCUCAAGCCCCCGGGCUUGGUGUUGGGGAUCGGCGAGCCUCCGCGCCCGCCGUCCCCUAAAUCUAGUGGCGGUCUCGCUGUAGCUUCCUCUGCGUAGUAGCACACCUCGCACUGGGAAACAGCGCGGCCACGCCGUUAAACCCCCAACUUCUGAACGUUUGACCUCGGAUCAGGUAGGAAUACCCGCUGAACUUAAGCAUAUCAAUAAGCGGAGGA
rnacentral:misc_RNA from 1 species